CUUGGCCGUUGUGUUUGCACGCUCUUCACCCUGCUCCUGCCCACUCUGCUUGUCACCUUUCCUCAGUCCUUAAAGAUCCUUAAUGCCUGGAUUUCAUCAUCCAGCCCUGCAGGAUGCUCCCAUUUGUCCUGAUGAAGGCUGUCCCAGACAGAGAGGAGGAGAUGGAGGUAGAUACCAAGAUUGAUACGGAGGAGGAGAUGGAAAUAGACGGAGAAGACGCUGGAGAGGAAGAGAUGGAUGUGGAUGUGGAGGAGGAAGAAGAGAUGGACGUGUAUGUGGAUGAGGAAGAAGAGAUGGAUGUGGAUAUAGAAGAGUCCAUUGAGGACAUGGAUAUUGAUUAAAAAGGUGCGAUGGACAUCAUGGAGAGAGAUGCCAACUUUUUGUACAUACGUUUUACACUUUGAUGUUGACUUUAGGAUAUAGGUUUUAGGGCUUUUUGUCUUCUGUAAAUACGUUUCAUAUAUUUUUUGUUA